rnacentral:lncRNA from 1 species
GUCAUUUUUUCCUUAUUGAAAUAUUCUCUUAACAUGAGAAAGUUUCAGGAUUAUCUCAUUGUAAGCUCUUCUCUUUACUAUUAGCCCAUUAGAUAUUAAACUGCUUAUUGUAAACUGACCAUCACAGUGUCCACCAUGUUGGAAGCUGCCAGUCCGAGCUCCCUUGGGAAGCUUCUCAGUUCAUGCUGCCUCUGACUGUCCCUUUGUGAAGCCAAAUAACCUGAAUAUUACCAGUUGCCAAAGUAUAGUUUUUCUGACCAAGGAGCAUGGUUCUGGAAAAUGUCUGUAGCAUAUUUCUGGGUUUAAUUAAAAACCAAGUACACUUGAUUCUUAACAUAAAACCAAAUGAAUCUACAUUUCCUAUGUGCUCACAAAACAUUUACUUGGUAUUCUCUGAGAGUUGAGCAUACAGCUUUCAUCUUACUAGACUGAAGACUCCUGGAGGCCAGAAACUUGCACAUGGCACAGUGCCCUGUGUAUCAGAAGAACUCAAAAGUUGAUUGGACUAAUCCUCUAGGAAGAAGACUAUGAAUGGGGAAGCAGUUCCAUACUUGAUGCUCUGACUGGCGUCACUGAGUACCAGCAAAAACUAGCAGUUGCGGCAAUGAGGUGGAGAAGAAAAAUUCAGCAAAGACAAGAAUUAGGCAUUGUUGAGUUGAGAAUAACCUUGAACUUCUGGUCCUCCUGUUUCUACCUCCCAAGUGCCAGGAUGCAGGUGAGCAGGUGUGUACCACACCCCCCCUGGCUUGGAUGAUUUGGUUUUUUGGUUGGUGGCUUUGGUUUUGGUGUUCAAUUUUUUAAGAUCUGUACAGAUUUUAGGUGUUAAUUUCCUGUUGGAUAUAUAAUUGGCAAAGAUUUCUCUCCCAUUUUGCAGGCUGUUACUUGAUUGGUUGUUUGCUUUGCCGAAGUUUUUAAAUUUCAUUUGUCAAUUCUUUGCACUUUUAUUAUAUUC